rnacentral:rRNA from 1 species
GACGAACGCUGGCGGCGUGCUUAACACAUGCAAGUCGAACGGAAAGGCCUGCUUUCCCUUGUGGAUUGCGGGUACUCGAGUGGCGAACGGGUGAGUAACACGUGAGUGAUCUGCCCCCAACUUGGGUAUAAGCCUGGGAAACUGGGUCUAAUUCCCGAUAGGACUGCAGGGUGGUGCCUGUGGUGGAAAACGAUUUUCUAGUGGUUGGGGAUGAGCUCGCGGCCUAUCAGCUUGUUGGUGGGGUAAUGGCCUACCAAGGCGGCGACGGGUAGCCGGCCUGAGAGGGUGGACGGCCACAUUGGGACUGAGAUACGGCCCAGACUCCUACGGGAGGCAGCAGUGGGGAAUAUUACACAAUGGGCGGAAGCCUGAUGCAGCGACGCCGCGUGGGGGAUGACGGCCUUCGGGUUGUGAACUCCUUUCGACCGCGAGGAAGCCACCUGGUUGGAAGGGUGGUGACGGUAGUGGUAGAAGAAGCACCGGCUAACUACGUG